CCCUUAGAUGUUCUGGGCCGCACGCGCGCUACACUGAUGCAUUUAACGAGUCUAAAACCUGCUCUGAUAGGGGUGGGUAAUCUUUUGAAUGUGCAUCGUGAUUGGGAUAGAUGAUUGCAAUUUUUCAUCUUCAACGAGGAAUGCCUAGUAAACGCAAGUCAUCAGCUUGCAUUGAUUACGUCCCUGCCCUUUGUACACACCGCCCGUCGCUCCUACCGAUUGAAUGAUCCGAUGAAUAUCAUGGAUUGAGGAUGCAAGUAGGUUCGCCUAUCUUCAUCUUCGAGAAGUGAAGUAAAUCUUAUCAUUUAGAGGAAGGAGAAGUCGUAACA
rnacentral:rRNA from 1 species